rnacentral:misc_RNA from 1 species
AUUUUUUGAUUAAAUUAUCUUAUCUUUUGCAAAAUUCUCUAUCCUAGCUAGCUAUUCAAAGUAAAUCUAUGUGCACCCUUUUGGUUUUGUGAUUCAAUAUAUUUAUCCAAUUUGACAUCUUAUAGUUUUAAAAAUAAUUUUAAUAUCACUAUUCUAAAACUCAUUAAUAAAAUCUUCAACUUUUCUUAUAAUCCAAGAAGUCAUUGGGUUAAUAAUUUAUAAGUCAAACAUUUAUCUUGUUGUUUAAAAAAUUAGAUAUUCUUUUAUAUAUCAGUCAGAAAUUUUAUUAAAUAAAAUAUUUGAUUUUUUUAUAAAUUGAUCAAACUUACUUAUAGGUUUAACCGACUUAUAAGUCAAACCAAACACCCUUAAGUAAGGUACUACUUAAAAUAA